rnacentral:rRNA from 1 species
GAGGAAAAGAAACCAACAGGGAUUGCCUUAGUAGCGGCGAGUGAAGCGGCAAAAGCUCAAAUUUGAAAUCUGGCACUUUCAGUGUCCGAGUUGUAAUUUGAAGAAGGUAUCUUUGGGUCUGGCUCUUGUCUAUGUUUCUUGGAACAGAACGUCACAGAGGGUGAGAAUCCCGUGCGAUGAGAUGUCCCAGACCUAUGUAAAGUUCCUUCGAAGAGUCGAGUUGUUUGGGAAUGCAGCUCUAAGUGGGUGGUAAAUUCCAUCUAAAGCUAAAUAUUGGCGAGAGACCGAUAGCGAACAAGUACAGUGAUGGAAAGAUGAAAAGAACUUUGAAAAGAGAGUGAAAAAGUACGUGAAAUUGUUGAAAGGGAAGGGCUUGAGAUCAGACUUGGUAUUUUGUAUGUUACUCUCUCGGGGGUGGCCUCUACAGUUUACCGGGCCAGCAUCAGUUUGAGCGGUAGGAUAAGUGCAAAGAAAUGUGGCACUGCUUCGGUAGUGUGUUAUAGUCUUUGUCGAUACUGCCAGCUUAGACUGAGGACUGCGGCUUCGGCCUAGGAUGUUGGCAUAAUGAUCUUAAGUCGCCCGUCUUGAA